CACUCCUACGGGAGGCAACAGUGGGGAAUAUUGGACAAUGGGCGCAAGCCUGAUCCAGCCAUGCCGCGUGAGUGAUGAAGGCCCUAGGGUUGUAAAGCUCUUUCACCGGUGAAGAUAAUGACGGUAACCGGAGAAGAAGCCCCGGCUAACUUCGUGCCAGCAGCCGCGGUAAUACGAAGGGGGCUAGCGUUGUUCGGAUUUACUGGGCGUAAAGCGCACGUAGGCGGACUAUUAAGUCAGGGGUGAAAUCCCGGGGCUCAACCCCGGAACUGCCUUUGAUACUGGUAGUCUUGAGUUCGAGAGGGGUGAGUGGAAUUCCGAGUGUGGAGGUGAAAUUCGUAGAUAUUCGGAGGAACACCAGUGGCGAAGGCGGCUCACUGGCUCGAUACUGACGCUGAGGUGCGAAAGCGUGGGGAGCAAACAGGAUUAGAUACCCUAGUAGUCCCA
rnacentral:rRNA from 1 species